rnacentral:rRNA from 1 species
AGAUUGAACGCUAGCGGGAUGCUUUACACAUGCAAGUCGAACGGCAGCGCGGACUUCGGUCUGGCGGCGAGUGGCGAACGGGUGAGUAAUAUAUCGGAACGUGCCCAGUAGCGGGGGAUAACUACGCGAAAGCGUGGCUAAUACCGCAUACGCCCUACGGGGGAAAGGGGGGAUUCCUCGGAACCUCUCACUAUUGGAGCGGGCCGUAGUACUACGAG